rnacentral:lncRNA from 1 species
UUGUGUGUAAGUGUGAUGUGAUAUGUGAUUGAUCUAGUUGUUAUAAAAGGUAGUAUGGUUGUUGUGAUGAGGUCGUAGGCAUGCUAGGGUUGUCAAGAAAGUGAUGAUAAGAUGUUGAGACGUGAUGUGAAUUGAUAAGUGAAUGACGUUAAGUAUAAGUAUGGGAUUGGGUGAUCAUAUAGAGUAUAAGGGGGUGUGCCGUGGGGUAGUAGUUCUACGCUAGGCACCAAUAGGAGUUGUGGGGUAGUGCCCCGUUGGGGCACCCACAGGAAUAUGGGGUAGUGGUCUAGCGAGAGCUACCCACGGGGAAUGAGAAGACGAGCCAACCAUGGUAAUCCGUACUCACCCCUCUUCCUGCAGGUAUGGCCGAGAGGGAGCAGGAGUAGAAGUCCGUAUGGUGCAAGUGUUUUCUCGAGUCUUUUCUUUAUUUUUCAAACAUUUUCUUUAAGGUUUUAUUGGAUAUUUCAGUCUUUAAGUUGAGUUCGGAUUUAUGUAAGACUAUUUGGGUUUUAAUAAGAGUUAUUGGAUGAAAUGAGUUGUAUUAUGGUAUUCGAUGAGGAUCACCUGGCCAGGGACGUUACAAUUGGUAUCAGAGCCGGUCCCGGGUGGGUAGGGGAAAGGUUGGGUAGAAGUAGAUAAAAGCCGGGUUUCAAAAGAACUUCUUUCAAGUGUUUGUAAAAGUGUUUUCAAAAGAUAGAUUCGACGUAUGUCAAAAAAAAAAAGCACCACUCGGACCGAACUUCUAGCUUACUCGGUAGGCAAAAGAACUUGAGUAGAACUGUUUCUAAUACUCCUCCGCUUGUCAACAGGAUGACUCCCAAGAACGCCAGAGUUGCAAGGGCAGCUGCGACCGCCCAAAGAGCAACACGACGGGCCACUAGGUCUUCGACUCAGCCUUCAGCGAGGCAGAAAGCCGGAGUGUGGCUGCACCCGUGAAUGAGAACCCAGCAGAAGUGCCAAACGCAGUGAAUGCAGCGAUCCUGGUGGAACUGCAAAGGUACCGAGACGCCAAUGGGGGACAACUUCCCAAUGGUGAAGCCGCAGCAGGGGCGGGGGACGUCCCCAUACCACCUGGGGCAGGCCAGAAUCCGCCACCACCGCCACCACCCCUGGCGGCGCCUGCAGUGGUGCACGCCCAUGCCCCAACUAUUGGGACAUGAUGAGACAUAUAAAGAAUAUGCAUAUGGAGUUUUUCAACGGAAAGGCCGAUGCAAUUGCCGCGGUAACUGGAGGCGCCAACUCGAGGGGAAUUUUGUUUCUGCAAGGUGCCCACCUGAGCUCCGUAGGGAUCUGGCCAUCCACCACCUUAAGGACGAUGCGCUAGUGUGGUGGGAGGAAGUGGUUGUAAGAGCACACGGGAUACGACUGACCUGGGAUGACUUCCUGGAAGCAUUCAAUGGGAAGUAUUUCUCCUUGGAAGCUAUGGACGCAAUGGAAAGCAAGUUUCAGGACAUCCGUCAAGGGACAAGGAACGUGAGAGACUACGGGGACGAGUUCAACCGACUUCGGAGAUUUGUGGGCCACUACCUGAGUGACACGAAUUAGUCCGCCGGUUCCUUAAAGGAAUGAGGAUAGAAUUGAGGAACAGCUGCAACGUGCGGGACUACCGUGAUGUCCAUGAACUGAUCGAGAAAGCCGCUGAACAAGAAACAGGACUCGAGGAGGAGCGGCGACAGAAGCAGACCUCCCAGAAUCGGGGUGCCAAACAGCCCCGGGAUGCACUGCCCCGGGAUGCACUGCCCCAGGAUGCACUGCCCCGGGAUGCCCUGCCCCCGACCGAGCCUGCCCCGGCAAGGUCCCCAUGCGAAAAGUGUGGACGAUUCCAUAUGAGAGAGUGCAGGGCGGGAGCAUGCUACAACUAUGGUGAGCUCGGCCAUGUGGCGAGGGAGUGCCCGAAGGAGAGACAAGCCCAUCGCAGACUCUGUUACCGCUGUGGCCAGGAAGGACACAUGUCGGGGGAUUGUCCAUUACAUCAAGGAGGGAAUGCGGGAGGGGCGCAACCCCAACAGCAGAGAGGACAAGCUGCAAGGCCACGAGCGUAUGCAGUUGAAGGUCGCGAAGGAGCCGAAACAAUCGCGGGUAUGUCCUUGUCUUGACCCUACGAGUAUGUAUUAUGAAAAGAACCGUUAGAGGUCACAUAGCUUAGCAUUAGUAUCGUGUAGGUUCUGUCGCGGUCGGAGGAGUGACAGCAUUCACUCUCUUCGACACUGGGGCAACUCACAGUUUUGUAUGCCCCAGACUUACACGUGAGUGGAACUUUAAGGGGAACUUCAACACCAUGGUGACUGGAGUCGAGACUACAGGAACAGAGAAAAUGGCCACGAGGGGAAGGUAUGAAGAGGUGCCAGUGGUCCUCUCAGGAGUGAACCUACCCGGGGACUUACUAGAGUUAGAACUGGGGCGUUACGAAGUGAUAUUGGGAAUGGAUUGGCUCGUACAACACCGAGCUGUAGUCGAAUGUGCCAAGGCAUGCGUUAGAUUUCCGCUAGAUGGGAGGCAAAUCGUGUACAGAGGAAUGAGAACUAGGACCGGGAUAUCUGUGGUAUCAAUGGUUCAUGCCGAAGAAGCAAUCCGGAAAGGAGGAGAAGCCUUCCUAGCCACUAUAGAAAUGGUGGGGGAGACCGAAGCACCAGAACUGAGAAGUAUUCCUGUAGCGGCGGAGUAUUCAGAUGUGUUCGAACCACUACGCGGACCCCCACCUCACCAAAAUAAUGCCUUUACGAUUGAGCUAGAACCCGGAACCGCCCCGGUUUCCAGGGCUCCCUAACGAUUGGAACCGGCAGAGAUGGCCGAACUUAAGAAACAACUGGAAGAACAAGUGGAGAAUGGAUUCAUACGCCCGAGUAGCUUGCCAUGGGGUGCGCCCGUGCUCUUUGUCAAAAAGAAGGAUGGGAGCCUUUGACUCUGCAUCGACUACUGAGGAUUAAACAAGGUAACCAUCAAAAACAAGUACCCCCUACCCCGUAUAGACGAACUCAUGGAUCAGUUGGAGGGGGCCACAUGGUUUUCAAAGAUCGAUCUUGCUUCAGGUUAUCACCAAAUUCCUAUUCACGAAGGAGAUAUUAAGAAAACGGCUUUCCGUACCCGGUACGGACACUACGAAUUAGUAGUAAUGCCCUUUGGGCUGACUAAUGCGCCGGCAGCUUUCAUGGGGCUAAUGAAUGACAUUUUCAGAGAUUACCUGGACCAAUGCGUGAUCGUCUUCAUCGACGAUAUCUGGAUUUACUCCAAGAACCGGGAGGACCACGGACGCCAUUUGAGUAUAGUGCUGGACAAGUUAAGAGAGCAGGGAUUAUAUGCUAAGCUUAGCAAGUGCAGUUUCUGGCAACGUAAGAUCGGGUUCCUAGGGCAUGUGAUUUCCGAGGCAAGGAUAGCAGUGGACCCAGAGAAGAUCGCAGCAAUCACUCGAGGAUAUGCUGAGGUCGAGCGUCUUGGAAUGGGGAGGUAAAUGGGGCGAGUAUCUACCAUUAGUGGAGUUCUCUUAUAACAACAGCUACCACGCGAGCAUUGAAAUGUCUCCUUACGAAGCACUGUACGGGCGACCCUGUAGGACCCCCUUAUGUUGGACCGAAGUGGGGGAGAAACGAGAUAUGACUCCAAAACUAGUCGGAGAAACGAUCGAGAAAGUAGAACUCCUCAAGAAAAGAUUGGAAAUAGCACACGACCGCCAGAAGAGUUACGCCGACAAACACAUAAAGAAGCUAGAGUUUGCAGUAGGGGACGAAGUGUAUUUGAAAAUGAGGACCUUCCAAGGGAGUGACCCAAACCGGAAGUUUAAGAAGUUGAGACCCAUGUACAUGGGCCCGUACGUGAUAAAGGAAAGGAUUGGAACAGUCGCGUACCGUCUGGCACUACCGCCGGAAUUGUCUGAUUUCCAUGAUGUGUUCCACGUCUCAGUGCUACGGAAGGUUGUACGAGAACCCGAGCUAAUCCUGCCGCAUCCACCUGCAGAUUCGCAACGUAACCUGUCGUUGGUUAGCAAACCAGUGAAGAUUGUGGAUGAAAAGGAAUUUGAUAACCGUGGACGGAAAGAAAAGAUGGUGCUCGUGCACUGGGAGAGGGAUAGAAUCCACGAGGAUGUGUGGGAACCUGAGUUUCACUUGAAGGCUAACUACCCCGGGAUAUUCGGAAACGUUGAACGGAAUCGGGACGCGAUUCAGAAUUCGGGGACAAAUCCCUUUCUAGUGGGAGAGAAUUGUAACACCCGAGCCUGGCCCAAAAUGAAACUCAAGUGUUGCAGGCCCAAGAAGGAGAAACCCUAGACAUGACCCCUCCCACUUCUUAUAAAAGGGGAAGCCCCCUUAGGGUUCAGCCACAAGAGAGACAGCAAGCGAAGCCCUACCCGAGCAGAACCCCGCCGCCGCCUCUCGCCACCGCCGUUCUGCCUCCGUCGAAGUCAGCCGUCGUCCACCGCCCGCGAAGCCCAAGCCGCCGCACCCGAGCCCCUAGCCGUCGCCUCCUUGAUUCGGUUUCGUGCAAGCAACUGAGAUCUAACCACAAGAUCCUGGGAAGUGACCGUCUCUUCCACUCUAGAUCCAGAUCUACCACUGCAAUAAGCUAAGGUCAGGACUUGGUUGUGAACUUGCCUCAUGUUGAGUAACCAAUGGGACUUAGUCCUCUGUUAAUCAGAUCUAGAACUUGUGUGUAAGUGUGAUGUGAUAUGUGAUUGAUCUAGUUGUUAUAAAAGGUAGUAUGGUUGUUGUGAUGAAGUCGUAGGCAUGCUAGGGUUGUCAAGAAAGUCAUGAUAAGAUGUUGAGACGUAUGUGAAUGGAUAAGUGAAUGACGUUAAGUAUAAGUAUGGCAUUGGGUGAUCAUAUAGAGUAUAAGGGGGUGUACCGUGGGGUAGUAGUUCUACGCUAGGCACCCAUAGGAGCUGUGGGGUAGUGUCUCAUUGGGGCACCCACAGGAAUAUGGGGUAGUGGUCUAGCGAGAGCUACCCACGGGGAAUGAGAAGACGAGCCAACCGCGAGAGGCGGGAUAUAAAAACGUUCAUUUAGGUGUCAUUAGUUCAUGGUCGGGUAUUUGGGUUCCUGUGUAAUAGAUCUUAUUAGCUCAUGACUUGUGAUUGUUUGCUCCUCCUGAGUUGAGUUCGUGGGUUCCCAGAACCUGCCCUCACUGAAUAAUCCGUACUCACCCUUCUUCCUGCAGGUAUGGCCGAGAGGGAGCGGGAGUAGAAGUCUGUAUGGUGCAAGUGUUUUCUCGAGUCUUUUCUUUAUUUUUCAAACAUUUUCUUUAAGGUUUCAUUGGAUAUUUCAGUCUUUUAAGUUGAGUUUGGAUUAUGUAAGACUAUUUAGGUUUUAAUAAGAGUUAUUGGAUGAAAUGAGUUGUAUUAU